rnacentral:misc_RNA from 1 species
AUAAUACAAUAGUGUGAGAGAGUAAAAUCUUGGAUUUGGACAUGGUAUCAAGAGCUUGAUAUGACAUCGCGGAUCAGUUGAUACUAAGAUACAUAAAGUACUCUACUCUUUAAUUAACCAGAAAGAAGAUGCAGUCACAACAUAAUAGACAAGGAGUCAGCCACUUCACAUACUGCAUUUUUAUAGUUGAACCCUCGGGAACUAAAAAGUCAGUUGAAGUAUCACUUAUGAUCUUACUUUAGCAAGACGAGCCCUCAGUUCUUCUAGAUCUUCAUCGUCAUCAGCAUCCUCUGCAUCUCCUACUGCCUGAGCAGGUUGCUUUAGCUUCUCCUUUCGGACUGCUUCAGGAAGUUGCGCGGCAGUCUCACCAGCAAGUUCAGUUAAGACCCUGUCAACUUCUUCUUCAAUCUCAUCUUCUAUGUCUUCUGAAUCCAAUGCACUGUCCACUGCAUCAUUCACAAUUUCUUCAAUGACGCCAGCCUUGGUCAUCUCUUUAUUGAAUUCCUGCAUUGUAAUAGCCACUUCUGGAGCCUUCAUA